UCCAGCGAUCGACCUGCUGAAUUCUGUGAAUCUGGUGACACGUCCACCGCGCUCUCCACGCCGCCCUCACGACCACAACACGAGCAACGUUCAAUGAAGAGGGAUCACUCAUCUAUCAGAAGAUCUAAAGUCUACAGUUGUGAACCACACUCUAUACGAACCAUUUAUCAGACGAUCCAAAGUCUACCGGAUGUUAACCACCCAGCCCCUGCAAAUCUACCACAGCAAACACCGAUAUAGCCAACUAGACAACAAGUAAUAACAACAACACAUUUGAAAUAUGGUAGCAAAUUUCUGGACGAGAAAUUAGCUGCUUACGCUAUGCAGUAUGUUGUUUGGAAAUAUAUUGACUGCCUUUGGAAUAAAACUUGUUCUACCGAUUUUGGAAAGAACGUCAAAAAUUCUCUUAGUAAUACUACUGUAAUACUAAACGUCACUCAUGUAAGUAAAUAGCAUGUAUUUCUUCAAAACUCUUUUAGAAACUGACAGUCACACCUAGCCUAAUCAAAUUGGUGACUAAAACUGUAUAAUAAGAUCUGUCAAAACUUGAAUUUUCACUUGUAUUCGGAAUGUCAUGUCUAAAUUCUGACGUGUGAAAUUAAGCUUGCAAACCAUUUUGCAUUCAGUAAAGUAAACACUUCCAUACGAACCAUCUUCCUCUUCCAUCUGCAUGGUUGAAGUUUCAUUCUUGUCUCAUAUUAGAAUUUUCAAUCUAUGUUAAUUUCCACGAUUACUGUAGGUGUUUAAAAUUUUUCUUAUGAGAUCACUUUACGCAAUGAAUCAAUUUCUCUCGUAAUUGUGUAUUCAUUUGAAAACAAAUGUCUUAUUGCUCCUGUGUUAUUAUGUAUCGAUGUUUCAUAGAGAGACCAUUUAUCCGAAACUGUUUUUGGUUUAUAAAUGACUUCGCAGUUGGUUGAUAUGGAGUGAAUUUCUUUGCCAAUUGCGUAACAAGCCUUAUGGUUAGUUGAUAUAGAGGCGCAAGCAGGUUGGAACCCGAUCAAACUUAUUCUAUUUGUUGUUGUUGUUAUAUACCCGCAUGAACAUUAAUAAAUAUUUCUCGUGUACCAUUUCCACUUAACUUGUAUCGUUGAGAUGUUCUUGUAUCCUUCAAACACCUCGGAGCUAGGGAGCAGAACAUGCAUCGCUGUGAUAAUGUUUCUUCAAUCUAUUCACAAAGCCGAGCAAAAUUUUAUUCUUUUCGAUAAACAACAACUACAUUUUACACUUUUUAGUGUCAGGAAAUGAAUUCGAAUUGUCGUGCAAGAGAUUCAUUCAUGAGUAAUGUCAUGUAUCGCGAUAUAUAUAUAUGCGAAAAAUUAUGCGAAGAGCUGAGUAUUCGGCUUCACAAUUAUGCAUUGCCAUAUCUGCCAGCGUAGAUCUUAAGGGUAGGGUUCAGCAACACUGUAAUAUAUAUACCCAUAACACUGAUAUUGAAUUAAUCACUUUUAAAAUGCUUUGCCGGUUUCAUAAGUCGUAAUUGGAGCGUAAAUAUAUGAUAUGAUAAUUAAAAAAAUGGCAAUGAUGGACUUUUGUGAUUUAAAUGCAUGUUAAAAUUCCUAAUAACGUUUACCGAUGGCUGUUAUUUGUUAUCAUUUGAUCGCUGUUAUUUGUUCUCAUUUGAACGGCCUGAGUUAAUGGUAGCGAUAUUUGAUAUUAUUAGCAAUAUACAACGGCUGAGUGACGAAUGUGCAUUCAGACGACCUGUGUGGGAACCUUUCUUUCGUUUGUUGUUGGAACUUUCCAUACAGAACAAGACUUGAGUUAUUCAAAUCGAUAAUCGACUUUAAUAUUCGAAUGAUUUUUGAAUAAACCACGAUAGUUAUAAUAGUUAUAAACCCUAUUAUCCUAUCAUUCAAAUGUUUUCAUUUACCCUAAUAUUUUUUGUCAGUUCCCAAACGUAAGUCAAAGCAAUAUAUGCUUAAUUUAUAUCGCUCUAAUAAAUGGAUUAAGCAAGAAUAUUUUAUACUUUAAAUGCUCAAUUGCCAUACGUUGCUAUUUCGCAAAAUAAUUGAUAAUUUGAAAAUUAAAAUCAUAGGAGAAAUUAGGAAUAUUCUUAGACCUGAAAUUAUCGUUCUCUUUAAUUGUAAUGCAUAACUUUUAUUUAUAUUGCCUCGGUUAUUCAUCAUAUUAAUGUAUAAACAUAGUCUCUAGAAUCUAAGUAAAGUUCAGCAUUAAAGUGUUCACCUGAGAAUGUUAUUCAUGGUGAACGCUAUAAAAUUUCUCGAUAGGAAUGUCUCACUUGCUUUAACUCUGAAAUAUACACAAGUAUUAUAUUUUUAACAACUUAAUGCUUAUUGGUAGUCGAGAGAGAUUAUAUUAUCUUAAGCUGGCACUCAGAGUCUGACUUGGUUAACUAAUAUAGCCUGAUUGAUAACUUAUCUCUGCAUGAUCAAUGAAGGCUAAUUAGGAUUUACUAAGAUAAUCAAUUAAAUUAAUUACAAGUAUAGUUACUUUGGAUGAGAACACGUCGCUAGUGGUGCUAUUAAAAUCUAAUCAACUUUCGUGUAUAGAGCUUUAAGGUGGGCAUUUGUAUCGAGACUAAUGAGUCAUGAAAGAAGUUUCGUGUUUUGUCUGCACGGUACAGUAUCCUUAAAGAUCAUAAUCAAAAGACUGUUAUUUCGUUUUCAUUGAAUUUCAUACAUGAGAUGAUUUAUUACAUUUAUUGAGCUUAUAAGUCGUUUUUCCUUUCUGUGUUUUUAAACUUUUUUCCGCAGUAUCGUUGGUUGAAGAAUUCUAAUAUUUUGACUUAUUUUAAGAAUAUAUAGUUGAAGAAAAUAUAUAUGAAACCAUGGUUGAAGAAUUCUAAUAUUUUGGCUUCUUAUUCAGGCUCGUUUCAGUUAGGGAUUGAUUAAUUUCGGCUCUUUUCGUGGAAUUUUUAUUAUUUUUUUAAACCUUGUCAAUAUUUGCUUUCCCUUCAAGUGAUUUACAGUUUUUACACCUUAAAAUUUGAAUUUUCCAUGUUCAAUUGAUGUUAUUGAAUAUUUUAUCAUCAACCAGUAAAUAAGUGAAUGGUUUUAUAUCUAAAAGAGUGAAUUUUUAAAUUGUGUACUAAUUUCCAAUUUUAAAGCAUUUUUUGCCUCCUAAAUUCUCUUAAAUGUACUAUUCGGAACAAAAAUUAUUUAGUUUGCCGAUGGUCAAGGAUACAAUUUUGAUGCUAAAUUCCCUACCAAUAUUUUGAUUUUUUAACCAAGAAAUGCGGAACGCAUAUGACGGUGAUAUUUGUAGGAAAAACUUCAUUAAAAUUUUCUAUACGCGCACUUAUUGAUGUAGCGUUCUUUAUGUUAAAUUAAUGAUCAUUCAUAUUAAAAAAUAAACUCACUGGACCUAAGUAUUAAUUGUAUUAAAUAAAUAGUGUCUGCAUUAAUCGAAUUUUUCAAUGGACUGAAAUUAUCUCAUUAUCGGUAAUUCGACGUGUUGCAAAUAUCUAGUCAUUGGUGAGGGAGUGAAGACUCCAAAGCCUAGCUUUAUUAACACUAAAUUUGAAUUUAAAUGAUAUAUUUAAGAACGAACAAGUAGCCCUCUAAGUCUAACUUCAAAACCGUAGAUACUAUGAACAGUUUAACAUGUGUUGGCGAAGUUAUAAAGUAAAAUUUCCUACAUUUUUAUGUCACUGAACGCCAAUAGCGACAUAAGACAUAUUCAUGUUUUUCUGAACACACCCAGCAAAAGGUGUGUUAUUAGAUAUAACCUACACUUUAACCGGCCCCUAUGUGUCGUACAUGCGUUUACACUGCCAUCUAAAUGUUAUAUUAUGUACAGUUAUAUAAUAUUUGGCCUACAAUGUUAAUUAACCUUGACACAUCCUGAAGUUAAAUGGUGAACAUCGCUAGUGUUUUGUCAAACGUUCACUUCGCCUCCUAUGUAUGUUAACAUAAAAAAGCUUUAUUAAGAAAAUUAGGGAAAAAGUCAUAAGAAUGCGCUAUUCAGACAUCAUUGUCUAUUGGCUUUAGUGUAACAUUUAAUUUUUUACAUUUUCUUAUGUAUAAUGAUUCAUUCAGUAUAGGAUUAAACAGAAAUUUGUCAUAAAUUAAAUCAAAGUUUAGAAUGGUCUGGGUUUCGACUCAUCAUUCGAGAUAAUUUCUGAUAGGAUUUAAUCAUGUCUCGAUAUCAGCGGAGAUAAAUUUACAAGGGGAUAAAAAUCGGUAUAUAGGUAUAGCCUUUGCCACCAAUUACCCCAUUUAUGUUUCAGUCGCUGUCAGUCAAGUGUUCUUUACCCCGUGUCUUAAAUGCAGUGUCACAGUGUGGAUAUUUAUGGAAGUGUACUCGCAUCUCAUUGUCCGGGAUAUUCAGUAUAUUGCGGACCUAUAGUGUCAAAUGCGAACAAAACUGUGCACUAAAAUCGCUUGAUUAGUUUUAUAAUUUAUACACUCUCAGGAACUAAAAAUGAAACAGUUUGUUUUUUCCAAGUCGAAGCUUGUGAAUGAGUUUUACGAAGUACUUUUAUCAAAAAUAUGAUAUAUUGUCAAACAUAUUGGAAAAAAGUCGGUAAUGAAUUUCCAUGUUAUAUGAAGCCUCUACCUCUUCGUCGUAUAUAUCCACAAUGUCUCUAUUGUAACCAUGUAUAAUAAUGACGUGUUAUCCUGGGUAAAUUUGUUGUCGAACGGUGAACUCAUUAUUCAAUGUUCGUUAAAUAUCUUUAACAUUAAAAUCAUUACUUUCUUAAAUUAAAUUUAUGAUGCUGUUAUACAAUAAUGUUCAAAGGUGAUUUCUGGGUACGUGUUUGGUUGCAGGCGAAUAACGACCAAUUCUCUAAAUCAAGUUUGUCUGGUUAAUAAGAUUUGUUUCAGUUCUUUAUACACAUUAAAGUUUCUUUAAUACAAAUAUAUACUAUUACAUGAAUUAUAUUAAAGCCUCAUUACUAUAUAUUCGUCAGUCGUUCGACGAUUGCUUUGAAUUCAAACCAUCAAUGAUGUUACUUCUCCAAAUCGGCCUCACAUUUCUUUACAAAUCUUCUGUUUAGGAAUGAAACUAGAACAUCUGAGAACAUUUGAGAACUAGCAGUUCUCAGAUGUUACGCGCUAUCAACUUUUCAACUGAUAUCUAAUGGGUUAUGUGAUACAGUCUUUAAAUGUCUAACGAGUUAUAUAUAAUUAACUUACUGUUUCGAACUUCCAUGUUGUUCAAUUUACAUUACUUUCGUGCUAAACCCAUGUUCCGUAGUCAUUCUGUAUAUAUAAGCAGGCUAUAUACCCAUCCUAUUUUGAUUGUGUUACGCCGUCUGUUUUCGAACUUUUAGUUUUCAAUUUAGGCAAUUAUUUAGAGUCAUUUAGACUAGGGUUGCAGUAAGGACUUUUUUCUCUUUAUAUAAUAACAGUGAAUCUUUUCUUAGUUUGCUUCGGAAAAGGUUAAUUUAUUUUAAAAUAUCUUUAAUUUUUCUGCAAACUUUAUUAAUGUGGAAAUAAUAGUGCGUGUGACAGUUAACUAAUAAAUUCAUUUUUGCUGUGUUGCCUUUGCAAAAAUUUUUUUUACCAACGAAUUUUGUUGAACAUGUGAUAUCCGACCUUUUUUUUCCUGCACUUUGUUUGCUCUAGAGUUUUUAAAAAGUUCAUAUCUUGCUGAAGAAAAGCAGUGCACCACAAACGAUGUUUCUGGAUUUGUGUUGAGUCUGCGAUAAAUUUGAUCAAGAUAUUAUUAGAAAUUUUAAAACGACGGUAAUAAAUUCUUUUGCCUCGAA
rnacentral:lncRNA from 1 species